rnacentral:rRNA from 1 species
CCUACGGGAUGCAGCAGUGAGGAAUAUUGGUCAAUGGGCGAGAGCCUGAACCAGCCAAGUCGCGUGAAGGAUGACGGCCCUACGGGUUGUAAACUUCUUUUGUCAGGGAGCAAUUGAGUCCACGUGUGUGCUUAGCGAGAGUACCUGAAGAAAAAGCAUCGGCUAACUCCGUGCCAGCAGCCGCGGUAAUACGUAGGAUGCGAGCGUUAUCCGGAUUUAUUGGGUUUAAAGGGUGCGUAGGCGGAAUAUCAAGUCAGCGGUAAAAAUUCGGGGCUAAACCCCGUCGUGCCGUUGAAACUGAUGUUCUGGAGUGGGCGAGAAGUAUGCGGAAUGCGAGGUGUAGCGGUGAAAUGCAUAGAUAUCACGCAGAACUCCGAUUGCGAAGGCAGCAUACCGGCGCCCAACUGACGCUGAAGCACGAAAGCGUGGGUAUCGAACAGGAUUAGAUACCCCUGUAGUC